rnacentral:lncRNA from 1 species
AUUAACACAUUAAAAAAUGCCGUUCCACUAUUAUAUACGUUACCAAUCAGAACCAUAAUAAAUAGUAAUACACAACAACGAACUAUCGAACAAUUGGGCUCAAUUGGCUGGAAAAAAAACCAUUCUAAAUAUUCAGAGCAUCUCCAAUGGUAGACAUCCAUGGAGUGUCUCACAAAUAUAAUAUUAAUAUUUUUAUGUUUAAUUUAUUUAGAGAAACUCACACUAAAAUUCUACUUCCAUU